rnacentral:rRNA from 1 species
CGGGAGUGGCAGACGGGUGAGUAACGCGUGGGAACCUUCCCAAUGGUACGGAAUAGCCCAGGGAAACUUGGAGUAAUACCGUAUACGCCCGAGAGGGGAAAGAUUCAUCGCCAUUGGAUGGGCCCGCGUAGGAUUAGCUAGUUGGUGAGGUAAUGGCUCACCAAGGCGACGAUCCUUAGCUGGUCUGAGAGGACGAUCAGCCACACUGGGACUGAGACACGGCCCAGACUCCACGGGAGGCAGCAGUGGGGAAUAUUGGACAAUGGGCGCAAGCCUGAUCCAGCCAUGCCGCGUGAGUGAUGAAGGCCUUAGGGUUGUAAAGCUCUUUUGGCGGGGACGAUAAUGACGGUACCCGCAGAAUAAGCCCCGGCUAACUUCGUGCCAGCAGCCGCGGUAAUACGAAGGGGGCUAGCGUUGUUCGGAAUCACUGGGCGUAAAGCGCACGUAGGCGGAUUUUCAAGUCAGGGGUGAAAUCCCGGGGCUCAACCUCGGAACUGCCCUUGAUA